UUUUGUUUAUUUGGGAAUAUUUUUUUGCUCGUUUUUCCUCGCUGUAAUUUGUAUAAAUAAACAUUCGGCGGAACUCGCACAGAGAAUCAUCUCCACCACGAGAGAAACGACAGAACUUUGUUGCAAUUCACGGGGUAAGGGCCAGGGGGGGGGGCGGUUGGGUUGCACGGGGUGUGGCAGCAAUUAGAGCGCCUUGAAAUUCGUCUGUAAAUGAGGGGCCAAAACACGAAAAGUCUCACUAUUGAUAAGAGCCAUCCCCCCCCCCCCCCCCGAUCGCCGCACCGCAGCGUGGAGGCCCCCACAGUAAACAAAAUGAUUAAAAUAUAUGUACAGUCACCGCGUGUCUCACAGAACGACCACAUGACUAAUCGAUUAGUUAUCGAUGGAGAUCGAUAGACGAUUGACGUAAUACCAGAAGAUGAUGGCCGGGGAUGGGAAUGGAGAGUGGUGAGUGGAGAGUGGAGGGGGGGUGAAAAUAACUGCACAAACAGUAAACGGAGAGCUAUCCUGAAGAGAAUUUCUGUGGACUUUUGCUGAGUUUUAUGAUUAUUUUUAGCUCAUCGUAUAAUUCCCGUGAUUCAGUUUGUGAUUUCGCUGCAAAUAUUCAAUUAUUCUGCGGUCAAUCGGAGGUUAUUGAAACCCGUUCUAGGUCGAGAGACCACUUAGCAGUGAUAGCCCCCGCCUUCGUAUACGAGAGGAAAGCCCCCUUAAGCAUGGUUUUAUGACCAAUCAUUUAUCUAAUCCGACUGGAACUCCCCCGUCACUACGCACUUGAGCACCAUAGCCUACGGGGGACUGUACCCUGUGCCGCGCCAAUCUCGAAACAAUCGACAUCAUCACGCCACUGAGAAACCAAGUCCAUGACUGACCGCCCCGAAAAAACGCCUGACUCAGAGAACAGCUCAGAAAUUUUCCAAAACAGCCCCAGACGAGGCGCGUGCCAAGGCUCGAAGGGGAGUCGCGUGUUCGUAUGACCCGAAUUUCGGAAUAGAUUAAUGCUACUCAAAGAUGAUAAUGCUGCCACAGAUCAGGUCUUGGCAAGCUGCAUGUUUUGUUUUCAUUUGUUUUUUUUUUUGUUUUUUUGCAUUACCCCACAAAUUUUCCAUGCCGCGAAGUGUGCGUCGCGAUCUUAUCAGGUAAAGUAAAGUGAAUGGAACGAUCGGAUCCAGCCCCCGACCUGACCAUGUGAUCUGAUUGCGAGAGCCACACCUAAGUGACGGAUAGAGAGGGAGAGAGAGAGGAGACGAAGCGCGCUCUCUGAGCUUUUGUAGAGCUUUAGUUGCUAGAGUUGCUAGAAAAUGCUAUUACAGUGGGUCUUAAAUGGGGCUUUUCAAAAUAGUAGGGGGCUUAA
rnacentral:sRNA from 1 species